rnacentral:rRNA from 1 species
ACGCUCGACACCUACGGGAGCAGCAGUGGGGAAUAUUGCACAAUGGGGGAAACCCUGAUGCAGCGACGCCGCGUGAGCGAAGAAGUAUUUCGGUAUGUAAAGCUCUAUCAGCAGGGAAGAAACUGACGGUACCUGACUAAGAAGCACCGGCUAAAUACGUGCCAGAGCCGCGGUAAUCUGAGCGGGCGUGGCAAGGC